GGUCAGGAGGCGACCCCUCGCCCAGCUCCGUGGAGGGGAAGAGCGGACCCGGGGCGGAGAACAAGCAGGGGUGUGGGGACGAGGAUGGCGGGCAGAGUGAGGUGGUUUUACACCCAACGUGGGGCUCGAACUUAAAACCCAAGACCAAGCGCUGUAUGCCCCGCUGACUGAGCCACCAUCUGCGACAUCUUUCCUUUUUCUCAAGGGGUGUUCACGACUGUGUUGUUGAGUCUGCCGGUCUUUGUGAAUUUUCCUGCUUACACGUUUCACGACAUGGUGGUCAGAAAAGCUACUCAGUAUGAGGUCAGUCCUUGUAAAUCUGUUAAGACGUGUUUGGGGACCCAACCUGUGAUGCUUCCUGGUGAGUACUGUGUGUGCGGGGAAG